UCCAACCACCCGGAAGUUGCUGCUGCUCCAGCCGCUCUGGGGACCGCGUCUCCCCGCUGUUAAAGGCCCCACGUACCUCUGCCAGUUCUGUCGAGUUGUGACCCGUACCCACCGCGGGAGUCGAAGGAGGCAUGCUAAGGGACGCAGGAGGCCUAGAAUGGCGAGCCUUCGGGCGGAGUCAGGAUUUAGGGGAGGUGUAUCUGGCCAAACGUGGACUCCCCUUCUCGCUCCUGCCCUGCUCGGGUCAGUUGUCCCCUGCCCUUAACGGUCCUGGUGGCUCUGCCGCAGCCUCUGUCACCCUGUGACCUGCACUGGCCGUGGGGCUCGUAGGAAUGACUCAGGGGACCCAGGAGAUCUAGAAAUGAUCUGGCUGAGUCUGUUCUGUCCAGUCCUGUGUCCACAGCCUCUCAGCUGCACUUGGCCUUCCCUCUGAGGGACAUGAUGCCCCUUUACUGGGUUGUCCUCAUGGAUCUUCCACAGCUGUGCCCUCCCACAGUCAUUGCAGGCGGGGUCUGAACUGCAUCCUGGUUUCUCCAAGAACACAGGUAUGACAUUACAUUAAUGACAUCUUGUCUGAGGACAUUUAGGACAUACAAAUAUUGUAAAAACGAGCUCACAAAAACUGGAUGGCACAUUGUCACUCAUAUGAUGUGAGGCCCUGACAACUUUGUUAAAUUUCUGGAAAUUAUUUGAUAAUCUGAAACUAUGAAGAAAUAGCUGUUGUUUCCCUCAGCAUCCACAGCAUCUCCUGGGUUCUUCUCCUGUUCCAGAGGUAACAUAUUUCUUGUAUUCAAAUUUUAUUUGAGCCUAUUUGUGCUGUUGCGUGCAAAUUUUCCACCUGGAGUGGCACCCCCUACCACAAAAGUCUGGAGACUCUCUUUAAAUUGUCAUACAACCAACUCUCCUGUUAGUGCCCUCAGAGACUCCUUCACUAUAGAGGCCUCAGUGACCUUCUGUCAUGCCUUCUAGGGUACCCAUGGUGGCCUUAAGUUGUCCAUGGGCUUCUGAUGGAAGAACCAGCCCUAGGCCCACAGUAUAUGUCAUUAGAGCUGCAGUGACCUCUACUUACAAGGCUGUCCUGCCAGUAGAUGGCCCUGAGCAUGGGACCAUGUAUCGAGCAGUCCGUUUUGACUUGUGACCUGGGAACAGCACUCCAGGAGCUCAGCAUGGUUAUGGAGACCCCCUGGAGACAUGAUGAAGCCAAACCUGGGCCCUCUGGGAUAUCCUACCUCCAGGAGGAGGUGAUAUUCCCUGUCUUCAGUCUCCUGCCGGGUAAAAUGGUGUUGAAAGAGGUCACCCCUUUCCCAGAAUCCCAGGCUCCCUGGGGAGCUCCUUAGGACUCCCUAAGUGUAAAGCAACAGGAGUUCCUAGACUUUGGGGAUGACAUCAUCACAUUUGCACAAAUGGAGCCCAGGCGGAGUUGCUGCUUUUCAUGUCUUAAUUGUGACAUCUCUGAUGGACUGGACACAAAGGUCAACGCACUGACCACACAGCAAGCAUUCAUCGUAGCACUGCCCAACAUUGGGCUCCAGCUGCAGACAUUACAGACUAUGGGCGAUUCCCUGAGAGUUGCCCCUUUGUGGUAAAAGGACUCUAGGAGUCUCUUGCCUCACAGUUACCUACAAUAUAAAUCAAAGUAACACUUGUCUCUGCGCAUAUGAAGGCCACACACAAAGUCUCACCAGGACACUCUGUCCACAUGGGAGUUGCAGACACUACUGAUAGUAAUGAAGGCACUCAUUUCACUUCUCAGAAUAUACAGUGCUGGGCUCUUAACAAGGCGUUCAAUGGAAGUUCCUCCUCUCUUCCAAGUCUCAGGGUGCAGGCCUCAGAGAGAAACUUAAUGACUUAUUAAAAUAAGUUCAAAUUAGUUGAAUGAAAGAUGGUCUGUUUCUGUCAUCAGUCACUCACCAGGGGUGAAUAUUAAUGUGCCUGUCUUUACUGUUUUCCUAGUAGACUGCUUUGUUUUAGGGUCAGUUUUAGGUUUACAGAAAACUUGACUGGAAAGUACAGAGAUUUCCCACAUAAUUCCUCUGCCUCCACACAGUUUGCCCUACAUUUUAUAUCUCCUAUUGCUGUGGUACAUUUGAUACAUUUGAUGAACCAAUUUGAUGCAUGAAAUUUCAUAGUUUACAUUAGUGGUGACUCUGUGUUAUGCAAUCUCUGGGCUUUGGCUAAUGUAACACUUUACAUUGCAUUUAUGUGGAACACUUGCACUUCUCUAAAAAUCUCCUGUGCUCCACCUUUUCAUUCAUCCCUCCCUCCCCCAAAUCCCUGGUAACCAAUGAUCUUUCAGUGUCAUCUUUAAUCUUUUGUAGAAUGUCCCAUGCUUGGAAUCAUACAGUGUAUAGUCUUGUCACACUGGCUUCUUUCAGUUAGCAAUAUGAUUUUAAAAUGUCUCCAUUUCUGUCUUGAUAACCUCAUUUGUGUUCAUCACUGAAGAAUGUUUUACCCUAUGGAUGUCCCCAUGAUUGUUUAUCCUUUCGCCUAUUGAAAUUAUCUUGGUUACAUCUAGGUCUCGACAAUAAGGCACAAAGCUCCUGUCAACAUUCACGUGCAGGGAUUUUUGUGAACAUCUGUUUUCAGCUCAUUUGGGUAAGGUCAAAUGCCAGAGUCCAGCUCCAGCAGAGUCCAGGUUCCUGAGGGAUGAACGGCGUCGGCGAAGGGAAGGGAAUGAGACUGCACGCCAAGUUGGUGGAAGCAAGUCUGAAGUCUUUAUUGUCAAGCGUGUGUUUAUAUAUAUUUUGAGGAUUACAUAAGCGUCUGGGGUACAUCUAUUUUCUCCCCUGAAGUAGCUUGAUUUUUCCCCAUGAUAUCAUUUUACUUCCUUAAUUUAUCUGGGUCAUCAGCAGUUUCUAAAGGUUACUUCCCUUAUUCAGUCCUGGGAAAGAGCUGUUCUUUUCAUUUUCUGGGUAAGUGCAGUUAGUAUUUAUAGAUCUCUACAGUAUUCUUUGCCGGGGGUGAGACUCGGGUUAUGCUGGAGGACGGAACAAGCCUUGGGGCAAAGAUGACCCAAGGUAUGUUUAGACGAGGCACACACAGGGCCCCACACCCUCUUAUAUAACUCCCACACUGAGACAUUUGACCCUUUAACCCUCUUUCUUCGGCAGGGCCCUGGGGUUGUUGAAGGAGUGUUAGUCAGAAGAGGGUCUUUCUUGUCUACUACAGUGGGAUUCACCUUUCCCAGCAGAUUCCCCUGGGUAAGCACAAGCGUCAUGAAGAGAGCCAAUACAGCAACUAGUAACAGCAGUUUGAGCAAGGAGGACCCUCGGCCGUUCCUGCAGGGGUUGCUUUGCAACUCCCGUGCUUCGUGUGCCCCGACUGUGUCACUGGGCUGCAGUGGUUGCAGGACGGCGUCCGUCAUUCAAAGAACGUGAUGGCUGCAAUCGUAUGGUGUUUCGACUUGUUGGGGGGGCCUCUCGGACAUAGGGAGACCCUGCCCCUCCCAGGGGCACCUCAUUCCACAUUGGCGGUGGACAGCUUGUCUGGAGCAGGCCUCUCACGUGCAUCCCGCCCAAUCCAGUGCCCUGUCCCUACAGACCUCCUUAUCUGCCUCUCACACGCCAGACAGUAUUCCCCACUCUAAACCCACCCAGGGCCAGGAACCAGAUGACUGAGGACCGUCCCUAGGCCCCAGAGGCUGCUGGGAUUGUUCAAAGCAGCCGGUCCUGAGCUGCUCACUCUGCCCUGACUCACAUUUCCUGUGGGACCCAAAUGAAGGCUGUGGCCUAGGUUUGUGUCCCCCUACUGAUUCUGCCUCCUGAGCAACCCUGAUGCAGCCCCUGUGACCCUGCCUGGCGUGGUGUGCCCUCAUCUUGGGAAGUGUAAGUAAUAAACUUUCAAUGUCA